AAAAUGAGCAAUUCGUUUGGCUUUUAGGGUUCUCUAAACCUUAUUGGGUUAUCUUGAAAUUGGCCGAAUCAACUAAUCAAGUUGGCCAGAUCUCGAGCCAUUUGUUGCAGUUAUUGCUACCAUGAAUUGCUGGAUGUUUAUUUGGUCUUUGGAUGAUGCAGAUUUUGGGGAGUGGUCUAUCUACACCAAAUUUGUGUUACUGAGCCAUGGAUCCCACUCGUAAGAAUUGAAAACCUGGGAAUUUGUGUUACUGAGUUGUAAUGUUAGUAACAUUAGGAAAUAAGGGGUGGCUAGUUAAUACACAGAGCUAAAGAGAAUCUCUGUUUUACGCUUCAUAGCUUUUUCUUGUGUGAUGCUCUUCUACAUAUCCAAGAUCUAGAAUUGGACUUGAAAAGACCCGAACACAGUUAGGAUAUGGGUACUAUAGGUCCUGACCCCAACCCAUUGAUAGUGCCCUGGACUACAGUUUCAGGUAGUUCCACAUCUUGCAAUUUUUAUUUUUAUUUUUGAAGUUCAAAAAAGCUUUGAAGGUGGUUUUUCGUUCUAUAAUUUCAGUAGCAGGAAAAAUAAAAAAUUGAUUAUUUUUAUUUUAUUUUAUUUAUAAAGGGCAUUGCUCUUGUUAGAAAUGCUAUUAUGGAUCCUCAUUCAGAAUUUCUGUUGGUUUGCUACUCUACACAAAUGGGCCUGAUAUUGGAGAAGUGGACUCAUUGCAAUUUGAUUUGGGUACAAUCAGAGCUGCUACUAAUAACUUCUCAGAUGCAAAUAAGCUUGGACAAGGUGGAUUUGGUGCCGUUUACAAGUUAUACUUCGUUCAGGUGGAACGUAUGAUGUUUUGUCCUGACCAGAACUGUAAGAUCCAUAUACACCAUGUCUAUCAAACAUGCAAAACCAACGGGAUUUGAUCAAUUGCGCCUAAACUUAGGCCCACAAGCACAGAAGUCUUUUGACACCAGCUAGGAGUGAACCACAUGGAGAAAUUUUUUUAAUGUAUUUAAGACCAUUUUCAACUAAUUGUUGUAAAUAUUAUAUAUAUUUUUUUAUAUUGUGAAGUAAUAUAUUUUUUGUUUAAUAUUCA